rnacentral:rRNA from 1 species
GACGAACGCUGGCGGCGUGCUUAACACAUGCAAGUCGAACGGAAAGGCCCUGCUUUUGUGGGGUGCUCGAGUGGCGAACGGGUGAGUAACACGUGAGUAACCUGCCCUUGACUUUGGGAUAACUUCAGGAAACUGGGGCUAAUCCCGGAUCGGAGCUCCUGCUGCAUGGUGGGGGUUGGAAAGUUUCGGCGGGUGGGGAUGGACUCGCGGCUUAUCAGCUUGUUGGUGGGGGAGUGGCUUACCAAGGCUUUGGCGGGUAGCCGGCCUGAGAGGGUGACCGGCCACAUUGGGACUGCGAUACGGCCCAGACUCCUACGGGAGGCAGCAGUGGGGAAUAUUGCACAAUGGGCGGAAGCCUGAGGCAGCAACGCCGCGUGCGGGAUGACGGCCUGUGGGGUGUAAACCGCUUUCGCCUGUGACGAAGCGUGAGUGACGGUAAUGGGUAAAGAAGCACCGGCUAACUACGUG